UGUCCAAAGCAGAAGCGCCCGCUUCUCACCUGACCGACGCCAAGAGGUUGUUGGCAGGUUGCGAUGGUUCGGCUCAUCGCCGGUUGACGCGAACGCCGUGCGCGGGUGCUUUAUGCAUCCGCGCUUUUUUGCUGGG
rfam:Geobacillus sp. B4113_201601 NODE_219, whole genome shotgun sequence.